AAUGUAUAAUCUGUGUUUUACAGAAAGGUGAAAAUAAAGAAUAACCUACUCCCAAAUGCCAAAUUAAGUGAUGGAUUGGGCCCACAUUCAAUUAAAAGUUUCAAUAAAUGCUCAAAGAUUUUGCCAUAUGGAAAUACCUCAGAGCAUGAAAUCAAAAUUAACCCUGUGUGGGAUUAACAUGAUGCACCGGGAAAGCACGUCACGUUUGGUAGACAAAAAUGUGAGUAUGCAGAAGGCAAGUGUAACACUUCUGUUUGCUGGCUGAUUCAUUGUUCUCUUUUAUAGCUGUAGUAAGGAAGAUGAGACUGGGGAACACAGUUCUGCCUGAUCUGCACGCAAAGAGCUUGGCAGACUUGUUCAAGAAUAUACAUCAUUUAUAUUCAGGCCGUUUCUACCCCAUUUUGUACAACUAGAGCAACAUCAAGAGACUAAAGUUUUGCAGAGACUUGCCUCUAUGACAUGAACUGCUAAUUUAUCUUUGUGCGUGUGUGUUUAAGUAGCUGCUUUCCUUGUACAAGAAACUCACUGAGUUGUCCAAUUAGAUUGUCAGAAGGAGCAUUUUAUUAUUAAGAUGCUCUAUGUUCAAAUGUAUUUCACUGACUACUUAUGUACUGGUGACCAGCUACCAGAAAGGCGGGCAGAAGAUGAGAGACAUUUGUGGCUCAUCUAAUUACUGUGAUGUGAAUGGUGUACGCUGCUUUUUGCCAAGCUUGGCCAACUCCAUUACUAUGGCACCCAGCAGAUGAUUAAACCAGGUUUUCAGCUCCUGCUGGCCUCCACAGCAUUGCUUUAGGUUGCUCCAGAUACCACCACAACCUGCCUUGAACCCCCUGGAGGCUGCUUCCCAAGCAGGCACUUAAUGCUCCAGCUCUAAAGGUUCUCUAAACAGUAAAUGCAUGGGACUGCUGUGUAUUAUAGAAUCUCAGACUGGUUUGGGUUGGAAAGGACCUUAAACCUCAUCCAGUU